rnacentral:rRNA from 1 species
UACAGAGGUCUCAAGCGUUGUUCGGAUUCAUUGGGUUUAAAGGGUGCGUAGGCGGCCAGAUAAGUCAGUGGUGAAAUCUCCUUGCUUAACAAGGAAACUGCCAUUGAUACUGUUUGGCUUGAGUAUAGUUGCUGUGGGCGGAAUAUGACAUGUAGUGGUGAAAUACAUAGAGAUGUCAUAGAACACCGAUUGCGAAGGCAGCUCACAAAACUAUAACUGACGCUGAGGCACGAAAGUGCGGGGAUCAAACAGG